GGCCCGAUGGUCUAGCGGUAAGACUUCCGUCUCUCAAUUGAUCAACCAUUCUUGGAUACUUCAAGCUCAGAAUUGGAUAUCUCGAGCUUGGGUUGAUUGAGAAACGACGGGGAACUCCAGUUCAAAUCUGGACCGGGCCA
rfam:Pseudogymnoascus sp. 23342-1-I1 unplaced genomic scaffold scaffold_29, whole genome shotgun sequence.